CGACAGGAAGGUCUGCAGACCACCAACCAAACAGAAGAAGCUUCACUGCAACAUAAACUGGGAGAACUGGACCUUGAAUCAGUGGUUUAGCAGGACCAGACAGGUUUCCUCUACCAACUGGAUCACCAGACAUCAUCACUGUACAGAAGACCUAUAUAAUGCAGACAGAGGCUUCCUGUCCCAUCUACAUGGAUCACUAUGAAUAACAACCUGCCUGGGAAAACUACUGAUUAUUCUUUGUGCUCAGACAACCCUGCAGAUCUGAGCUCCAUCCAAGCAGCUCAAACAACAUGAAGAACAGAGAGAUGUUCCUACCAAACAACAACUAGAGCAUCUCUAUCCCUCAGUCUAUUCCCUUGAAGAUGUUUAAAUCAGAAAUGAUCUUUAACAAGCAGGUCAGACUAAGAAAGAAAUUGAGUUCAAUAAAACUGUUAAUGUCUGUUUUUCAACUUUUCUGCCAUUUUGCUGUAAAUCGUGAUUCAACUGUCUUCAUCUUCCCUCCUCAUUUCUCUAUCCUUAUCAUUCUGUCACCAUCUCUCCAUCCCUUCAUCUCCUCCACCUCCUCCUGAGUCCCUAUCUCUCUCAUCCUCUCUGUCCUGUGGGUUCUGUGGUCUGAGGCUUGCCCAUUUAGGACCCAUGAUGGGUUUUUGGUGGUCUGAGGAUCCAUGGAGCAUCCUGAAGUCCUGCAGCUGCUUCUAAGGAACCACAGAACAGUAAACCUGGCAGAGACCGAGACCAGACUGUGGUCAGAGAAAAGCCGCGGGUUGAAAAGUCCUGCAGCUCAACAAGCAGCUCAGUGUGAGCACUGAUUCACUGAACCUCAGAACUUGUAUCGAUUAUCCAUAGAAAUAUGGAUUUGAGUGAGGAUUCUGUUUGGAUGGUCCUACUUUUCUUUUUAAAAAAAACGAAAAACACUUCUGAUCCAAAUAAAGCCACAGAACCACAGACAAGGGAUCGCUCCACAGUUUAAUUCAGCUGAGCUUGGACCACUCACACGCUUUGGAGGAAGGCUUACACCCAGGUUAAGUAUCCUGUCUAGUCAAAGUAAACUCCUAUCUUCUCUAAAGCAUGAAGACUGUAUGAGCUGCUUUGUUCUUUUACUCAGGUUGUUUUCUCACAGUUUCUAGUUCAGCUUGAUGGUCUAUUCUGUUGUGAUCUAGAAUGGGAAACCACCUAGUGGCAGGAGAGACCAGUACCACCUGCCAGUCUCAGAGGAACCUUCUAGCUGAGAAAACCACCCGUUGGUCCAAUGAUCCGGACCCUCGAGUAAGAUGAGCGAUGGUAGCGUAGGAACCGCACAUUCAUAGAGAUCCAUGCCAGUUGUCUAAGACUUGAACCAACAACUGUGUCGGACCUAAGCAAGGCACUCCUUUUCAGUUCUGCUGUAGUGAUUCUGGUGUUGCUAAAGGUGACAGAUCCAAAUGAGUUCAUAUUCCCUUUUCCCUCCCCUCUUAGAUUAGGUACCAGAACUUAGAACCAGGCCAUAAAA